GAGUGACCUCGGGACAGCCUUGGCUCUUCUGUGCGCCUGAGCUUCUCGCUUUCGAUAACUGGGGUAACGUUACGAGGGCGGGCUCAUUGGGGCUCUGCCUGUAAAGCUCAGGGCCUGGCAUGCAGCGUGCGCUCCGGGACGGCGGCUAUUUUUAUUAUUAAUUAAGGAGUAACGAAGGUGACAGCUGUGUAAACUGUAAAGCGCGACUGGGGACUGAACGGGUAUUAUUAGCACCGCCCCCGCUCCGGCUACUCCCUCCAAAUCAACAAACUUGCGCUUCCGUAGGCCAGGAGGCAGAAGCAAAUGGGACUCUACCCACUUGUAAGCCAGCUUCCUUGGUCUAGACUUCCAGCCCAUCCAAGACUACAUAAGAGAUCUGGCCUCAAAGAAAGAAAGGAGAAUGAGUUGGAGAAAAGCUGUCACGACCCUCCAAAAUCAAUAUAUUUACAGCUUCCUGAGAAGACGGCGAUGCUAAAGACUGUGUCUGUCAUUGGGGUGAGAUGGCUUAACAGAGACAGGAUUUCUCUGUGUAGCCCUGGCUAUCUGUCCUGGAACUCUGUAGACCAGGCUGGCCUCAAACUCAGAGAUCCCCUGCCUCUGCCUUCUGCGUGCUGGGAUCAAAGGUGUGCACCACCACUGGCUUCAUUGUUUACAAACAAAACAACAACAACAAAAACAGGCCAACAAGAUGACUCAAUGAGUGAAGAAUGACGCCUGCCACAAAGCCUGAUGACCUGAGUUCAACCCCAGACCUACAUGGUAGAAAGAACUGACUCCUGAAAGUUCUCUGACCUCCACACAUGUACUAUAUGACACAUAUGUGUGUUCACAUGAUUAUGCAUGUGUGUGUGUGUCACACAUAUACAGAUAGAAAAACACAUGUAAUAAAGCUCAAAUAUCAUAUUCUGUGUUCUUAUUUUUAUUUUUUUUUACCAUUUUAAAAGAUUUAUGUGUGUACAUGAAUGUACGUACCAGAAGAGGGCAUCAACCCUUCUAGACCUGGUAGGUAUGGUACCUCAGAGGUAGUUAUGAGCUGCCAUGUACAUACUGGAAACUGAACUCAGGUCUUCUGCAGCAGCAGUAAGUGCUUGUGACUGCUAAGCCAUCUCUCCAGCUCUAUGUUCAAUACCAUAUAUAUACAUAUAUAUAUAUAUACACACACACAUAUGAUAUAUGUAUAUAUCAGUCCUUCUGGGAGAGAUAUAGCAAUCAAUAAUAAAAUGAACUGUUAUACAAUGAAAUAAAUAAUUACAAAU